UGAAGUCAUGGCUCAAAACUAAGCUCCUAACAUAUACCGCAAUUGUAUAUCGAAUCGUUCUAAUGCCACAAAUACGCUGCAGCAUCCAUCAUAGACCGGUCUGUAACCUCACCAACGUGAAGAACUAGUCCAACAGAGUUAGGCUCCACGGCUGUUGAAGGUCUGUCCUUGGUCUCAGGCACAAUGCCAGCCUCAUCCUGAAGCAAGAUUGAAGCAUAGUAUCCUGGCCGGGCCUCCAGCCCGGUGCCGGAGUGGGAAAAACCUCAGGUGGUGCUGGAGGCGUGG